UACGUAGGGCGCAAGCGUUGUCCGGAAUUAUUGGGCGUAAAGAGCUCGUAGGCGGCUUGUCACGUCGGGUGUGAAAGCCCGGGGCUUAACCCCGGGUCUGCAUUCGAUACGGGCUAGCUAGAGUGUGGUAGGGGAGAUCGGAAUUCCUGGUGUAGCGGUGAAAUGCGCAGAUAUCAGGAGGAACACCGGUGGCGAAGGCGGUGGUCUGGGCCGGCACUGACGCUGAGGAGCGAAAGCGUGGGUAGCAAACAGG
rnacentral:rRNA from 1 species